AUGCCACCUUGAAAACACUCACAAGGUCAGCUUCAUCUGUGCCCUCAUCGCCCGUCUAAGGAAACACAGCAUUUGAGAGUAUGGAUUUUCCCACAACCCUGAUUAAAUGACGGUCGGAUCUGUAGAAGUAGAAGUUGACCUUUGCUCAGCCCAUCACAGUUUACAAAGAAACUUCACACAAAUUAUCUGUGAGCUGGGGGUGGCGAACCUCCCCGCUGGAAGAGGAAGGAAAUCAGCCAUGGGGAGGCCAAGUGACUUGCCCCAGAUCCACGGGUCAUAGAUUUGCUUACUCCAAGUCUUUGGGGAAGGACCUGCCCCCGAUCCCACCCUGAGAACCCUAGCCUUGAGGAUGAGUCCUGUCACCAGUGGAUGCUUUGUGAAUGGUUACCUUUGAUGAUAGGUGUGACAGAGAUGGCUAACUGACCACUUAGAUUUGAGCUCCUCUCCCAUAGUAGAGUCAUUGCUGGGGAGGGACUGCCCCGCCAUCGACUUCACACGUCCGGCCCCCUUGGACCUGGGAAGGGCCAUGCAAUUAGUUCUGACAGGAGUGAAAUGCCAGGAGAUGUGAAAUAUGUCACUUUGGGAUCAGGGUGGCUCUGGGGCUGGUGUGCUAUCACCAUGAACUCUCUCUCUCUCUUUGAUGGUGACCUUGGAUCCCAAGUGUUGAGAUGCUGGUUUCAUAAGAAGGAGGUGAAAUGCCUCAUCGGGAACAUCUGUGUUGGAUUUUGCAUGAACAAACACUUUUCAAAAAUCAAAUAAAAAUAAACUUUUAUGUGUGUAGCCCCUGAGGCUUGGGGAUGGUUGGUUACAGCAGUUUAUAUUGGGGUAAGACCCACACAAAUACAACAUGGGAUGCUGUUUUUCUGUUUGGGCUAAUGGCUUAAGUUCCAUAAGAAUAAAUUUAUUUAAAUAAGAAAAUGAGCAUCUUUAAGGAAUAACAUGACAUGAACAACAGUACGAUGGUACACACAUAAGACAAAUAGUGGUUCUUAAAUGGCCAAGUUUGGGAAGCACUGACUUGUCGCCAGCACCAGUGAUUGUGUGUCAAUUCUAAGGAAAUGGAAGAGAAUGAAAGAUAGAGAAUUUCAUGAAGAAAAAAGCAGUAAAUAGGGUGAAAUAUUUGGGGGGUUUCUGUAGUGGAAAAUGCUGAUGUUGCAAGGUCAGGGGGAUGUUUCAGUAGAAUGGGGAGAGUUAAUCUCAGGAUGCAGCAGUGGGAUCCCAUAGCCCACGAGAUUUACACAUCAGUAGUUUAUAGGGUAGAUGUGACCCUGAGAAGUGUUUGGUUGGGCCCGCACAGUGGCUUUUCUUUUUCCAAUAUAUUAAAUUAAAAUUAGAAGAUUUUACAUAAAAAUCAGAAUUCCUGGUUUCUCUUGAAAAAUCAAAUGAUCUGGCCACCCGGGGCCGGCAUUCCCACCCGGCAGCCUUCAAGCUGGAGCUGGGUGGCAAAUGUCACCUUGGAAGGGGAGUGUGUCCACAGUCCCUGCCACUCCUCAUUGUCUCCUGGAUCCUGAGCCCAAGUCACAGAGACCAUUUUGCACCAGCACCAAGGCUUUGCUUUUGCAAGAGGACUAUUUCUCUAUACCCACCCCUCUCUCAGAAGAGACCAACAAACUAUUGAGAAUAAAAGGGUCAUGUGUUUCACAAAAAGCUGGAGAGAAAUAGACGCAGAAAGAUAGAAAACGGUAGUUACUGGGGCAGGGGUGCACAGGGAGGGGAGGGAGAGAUCAGGAGUUUGGGAUUAACAGAUACACAUUACUACUAUG